CAGAGCAGCUGUGGAUGCCCAAAAGCGGCCAAGGCCUUUCUGAGCUGAUGGAUUCCCAGCUCUGUGUUGUUUAGAGCUGCAUCCAUCUGCGUAGGCACAUCUGAUCACCAGUUUUUGAGGGAAGAGUCCAUCUGAAAGAUGGGCUCUGUUAUUUGAGCCUUUUAGAAGCAACCAAGUCACAGAGGGUGUUUUCAUGGAAAAACAGAGCCUGUGCCAAAAGCUGGGCAUAUCUCUCCACUAUUUAAGGAGUAGGAGCAACUGGAGCAGCAGAAGAGCCAAUGGAGAGUCCAGUUUGCAUCUUGACUUUAAACCGCUGUCAUUCGUGGACUUCUCUCUGUAAAAAUGUCUAAUGCACUGGAAGUCCUGGUAGUCUGGAGGGGACAGGAAUCACUGUCCUGGUUGUCAUCCUCAGCCCUGAGCAACUCCUGGAGCUCUCUGAAGAUUGACCCGUGUCCAUUUUGUGUUUCAGCUUGGAGCUCUACAGCUCCUUCCUUGUCAGAAUUCGCAGAACAGUGAGAGCCUUGUAUUUUUUUAAGGAGUUUUAUCUAUUUUUGUUUCACCCUCCCACUGGUGCUUUUUGUUUUGCAUCUGGAUUUCUGGCUGUUUAUCCAGCCUUUGAACAGGAACUCCUGGAGCCAGCAGUAAUAAUGACUUAAGGAGGAAUGGAGUUCACCAUUUCUUUUUGGAUCAUUGUACUGAAGAAUAGCUGAAAUAAGCAAAAACUGAUAAAGGUCGGAGUUUUCAUCUCCCACACUGGACAAACAGUGGUUCUGGCUUCUGCAGGAAGGUCUUAGGGUAGCAGCAUCCAAGCAAAGAGGUCAAAUCCCUGUAAGACACAUCCAAAGUCUUCAAAUGAAGGAAACUUUAUGUAAAUGCAAACAAGAAAUGCUCCCUGAGGGCAGUAACUUUUAAUUCAUCCCUUCAGUGUUACGGAAAACAAACUUGGAACCGAUUUCUGUUCAUUGAAGCAUCCCUGGGAGUCUCUGGAGGAUGCUGGCCUCCUGCCUGUGGAAGAGUCCUCUCCAGUCGGAUGAAAAUGUGAAGUUGGGAGGCAGAGAAACAGUUUAUUCACAUCGUAUUAAUCCUAAAAAAUGAAGGAAAGGCUGUAGGUGAACUCGGCAUCACAGCACUUUUAUAAUGAACGUUGACAAUUGUGGGGGGAAGUCAAUCUCCUGUACAUCAUAAAUGACAAAACAGCUCCUUGGAUCUUGCUGGUGGAUCCUGGAAUGGAAUGGUUGGGGCUGAGGAAAGGCUGCCUAGGAUGGAGAUGGGGGCCAUACUCAAAUGUUUCCUGCUGUUGAGGUGUGUGAUUGUGAGAAAACUCCCUGUGAUAAAACUCAGUCCCUCAGAAAGGAGAGAUUGUGUGUGCUUAUCUGGAAAUUACCUUUCCUCCACGCUGAUAACGUUCUGAGGAGAGUAAAAAUAGAAAUUGCCAUCCCCAGCCUGGUGUUAUCGCUUUGGGAACAGGUUUUCUAUGGCUCCAGCUGAUGGAAAAAUGUAUUCCUUUAAUAAUAUUGAAUACAAUCUGUGGUGUUGGGGAAGUAGAGUUGCAUUAUAUGGGAUGUGGAAGGGGGAAUUGAAGGAAAUAACUUGUUCAGUCUUAUCAGGAUAUGUGGAUCCCGGGCUGCAGCAGGGUGGGAAUGGGGGGUUGGUGCUUCUGUUCCCAUCACACUGCGCUAAAUUAUUGCAAAGCCCAUGCAAUCCUUGAGCUCCAGGUGGGACGAGAGCAGGACCGGCCGUUCCCUGGCUCCAUGAGCAGCGGCCUCACUCAUCCCAGUCUUUCUGCUCUCUCCAUCUUCCCCUUUUUCUCCAAGGAGCCACAAUGGGACAGAGAUUUUUGGCCAGGAGAAGUUAAAAACUCACCAGAGGAAGCAGACAAAGGCUGAAGCAAAUGAACUUGUGCUGAUGUCAUUUCAUCUGUCUGUUGAAGGCUGUUGUGGUUAUGUCAGUGUCUUCUUCCAGAAGAAUUUUUCUUCUUCCAAAAAUAGUUCAUAGGUUUCUGCCUGUUCUCAGCUUCUUGUUCAUGCCCCUGAGCUGCCGCUCUGCUGGCUGUAAAUCCCAUCAGGGAGAUGUUUCCUUCUGCAGAGCUUUUGCCUUCCUAAUUUAAAAAUGAAUUUAUUUAUUUAUUUUAACCCAGGUAUUUUCCUGGCCUGGCCCGCAAACACUGAUGCAGGGCGGCUCAGGGAGUUCUCAGCUAUGGAGGGAGGGGAGGGGACGAGAGAGGAAGGUUGGAAAACAGAAAUCCUUUGAUCUUGGAGAUUGUUUUUGUGCUGCUUGUAUUCCUGCAUGUGCUGCUCCCUUGUUUUCCCACUGCUGUGAGCUGUGCCUGCUUUGUGUGAUGUGAAAAGAACAUUUCCCUAAUGCUGUGGGGUGUUUUAGACAGCUAUGGAUUGGUUAUGGGGUGUUUUAGGUGGCUAUGAGGUGUUUUAGAUGGCUUUUAGGUGGCAUUGGGGUGUUUUAGAUGACUAUGGGGUUACUUUGGGGUGUUCUAGAUGGCUUUUGUGUGGCUGUGGUGUGUUUUUAGAUGUUUAUGGGGUGCUUUAGAUGCCUGUUGGAUGGCUUUGGGGUGGCUUUGGUGUGGUUUAGAUUGUUAUGAGGUGGCUGCUGAGUGUUUUAGAUUGCUGUGGGGUGGUUUGGAUGGUUAUGGGGUGUCUACGGGGUGUUUUAGAUUGUUAUGGGGUGGCUGUUUGGUGUUUUAGGUGAUUAAGGGGUAUUUUAGAUGGUUAUGAGGUAGCUGUUAGGUGUUUCAGGUGCCUGUGGGAUCUUUCAGAUGGCUAUGGGGUGGCUGUGGAGUGGUUUAGAUGGUUAUGGGAUUGCCAUGGAGUGGUUUAGAUGGCUGUGGGGUGGUUUAGAUGGUUAUGGGAUUGCCAUGGAGUGGUUUAGAUGGCUGUGGGGUGGUUUAGAUGGUUAUGGGAUUGCCAUGGAGUGGUUUAGAUGGCUGUGGGGUGGUUUAGAUGGUUAUGGGAUUGCCAUGGAGUGGUUUAGAUGGCUGUGGGGUGGUUUAGAUGGUUAUGGGAUUGCCAUGGAGUGGUUUAGAUGGCUGUGGGGUGGUUUAGAUGGUUGUGGGAUUGCCAUGGGUGGUUUAGAUGGCUGUGGGGUGGUUUAGAUGGUUGUGGGAUUGCCAUGGGUGGUUUAGAUGGUUAUGGGAUUGCCAUGGGUGGUUUAGAUGGCUGUG